AAGCCGGCCAGAGGAGUUGAGAGAGAGGCCGAGCGGUUUUCUGAGAGAGAGAGGUCGGACGGCGGUGACUUCGAGAGGAGAUGGGCGAAGGGAGUGUCCGAGUCAGGCAGAGCAACGACCGGCGACCGUUCGCCGUCCUUCCAUGGGCAGCGGCGACGGCGGGCGCCUUGGCUGAAGGCAGAGCGAGAGGGAGAGAGACGUGCUUGAUUUGAGAGAUGAGAGAGACCGAGUAUUGAGAGUGAGAGGAAGGCAUUUGGGCUUCUUGUUUAUUAUUGUAAUUGGGCCUUGUUUUUUUUCAGUUGGGCCGAAAAUUUUUAGUUUUGGGCCUCUUCAUUUAUUUUCUUUGGGCUUUGAUUUAAUUGUUGUUUUGAUUUGUAUUGGGCUUUAUUUAAUUGAGUUGGACUCUACUUAUUUUAAUAAUUUGGGCCUCCUAUUUAUUUAUUGGGCUUUGUUAUUUAAUUUCAGUGGGCUUGAGUUGGGCUGAGUUAUUUAUUAAUUUUGGGCCGAUUUUAAAUUAGGAAUUG
rnacentral:lncRNA from 1 species